UUUUAACUGUAAAGACUUUUUACCUGGGCACUACGGAUAUUUAAAUCUAAAACCCAAAGAGCUUGGCGGUGUUUUAGACCACUCAGGGGAACUUGUUUUAUAAUCGAUAACCCACGUAAAACCUCACUUUUUCUCGUAUUUAGUAUGUAUACCGUCGUCGUCAGUUAACUUUUAAAAAGAUAAAAUUUAGCAAGAUAUUUAUUAAAUAAAACGUCAGAUCAAGGUGCAACAAAUGGAAAAGUAAAAAUGAGUUACAAUUAGAUAAUCUAAAACAAUUUUGUUCUUUAAUAAGACCAAUUAAGGCGGACUUGAAAGUAAUUAUAUAGAUAUAAAUUUUUUGAAUCAGGCUCUAAAACAUGC
rnacentral:rRNA from 1 species